rnacentral:rRNA from 1 species
AACAGGAUUAGAUACCCUGGUAGUCCACGCCGUAAACGAUGUCGACUAGCCGUUGGGCUCCUUGAGAGCUUUGUGGCGCAGUUAACGCGAUAAGUCGACCGCCUGGGGAGUACGGCCGCAAGGUUAAAACUCAAAUGAAUUGACGGGGGCCCGCACAAGCGGUGGAGCGUGUGGUUUAAUUCGAUGCAACGCGAAGAACCUUACCUACCCUUGACAUCGUGCGAACUUUCCAGAGAUGGAUUGGUGCCUUCGGGAACGCACAGACAGGUGCUGCAUGGCUGUCGUCAGCUCGUGUUGUGAAAUGUUGGGUUAAGUCCCGUAACGAGCGCAACCCUUGUCCUUAUUUGCCAGCGAGUCAUGUCGGGAACUCUAAGGAGACUGCCGGUGACAAACCGGAGGAAGGUGGGGACGACGUCAAGUCAUCAUGGCCCUUACGGGUAGGGCUACACACGUGCUACAAUGGCCGGUACAAAGGGUUGCGAAGCCGUGAGGUGGAGCUAAUCCCGAAAAGCUGGUCUCAGUCCGGAUCGGAGUCUGCAACUCGACUCCGUGAAGUCGGAAUCGCUAGUAAUCGUGAAUCAGAAUGUCACGGUGAAUACGUUCCCGGGCCUUGUACACACCGCCCGUCACACCAUGGGAGUGGACUGCACCAGAAGUGGUUAGCCUAACUUCGGAGGGCGAUCACCACGGUGUGGUUCAUGACUGGGGUGAAGUCGUAACAAGGUAACC